GCAGGGUCUUAGUGGAGGUCCUGGGGACCAGGGCUCUGAAGGACCUGUAGGACCCAAAGGUGAUAAGGGAAACCAAGGAAGACCUGGACCCACCGGUCCAAUGGGUAUGGGUGAACCAGGACUGCCGGGUCAGAUUGGUCCUCCAGGGGUUCAGGGAACACAAGGGUUCCCAGGAGAGGGUCUACCAGGGCCUAAGGUGAGACA